rnacentral:pre_miRNA from 1 species
GUUUUACUCCCUCCGUUCGGAAUUACUUGUCGUAGAAAUGGAUGUAUCUAGACAUUUUUUAGUUCUAGAUACAUUUAUUUCUGCGACAAGUAAUUCGGGACAGAGGGAGUACAAA